ACCUGGCUGGCUCAGUCAGUGGAGCACGUGACUCUUGAUCUCAAGGUUGUGAGUUCAAGCCUCACGUUGGGCA
rnacentral:tRNA from 1 species